GGGUCGCUAGCUCAAUGGUAGAGCAAAUGCCUCUUAAGCAUUAGGUUCAGGGUUCGAAUCCCUGGCGACUCA
rnacentral:tRNA from 1 species